UACGAAGGGGGCUAGCGUUGUUCGGAAUUACUGGGCGUAAAGCGCACGUAGGCGGCGCGACAAGUUAGAUGUGAAAUGCCUGGGCUUAACCUAGGAACUGCAUUUAAGACUGUCGUGCUAGAGACCGGGAGAGGGUGGCGGAAUUCCCAGUGUAGAGGUGAAAUUCGUAGAUAUUGGGAAGAACACCGGUUGCGAAGGCGGCCACCUGGACCGGCACUGACGCUGAAGGUGCGAAAGCGUGGGGAGCAAACAGG
rnacentral:rRNA from 1 species